rnacentral:rRNA from 1 species
UACAGAGGGUGCAAGCGUUGUUCGGAAUUAUUGGGCGUAAAGCGCGUGUAGGCGGCUUUGCAAGUCGGGUGUGAAAGCCCUCAGCUUAACUGAGGAAGUGCGCCCGAAACUGCUUGGCUUGAGUACCGGAGAGGAUGGCGGAAUUCCCCAAGUAGAGGUGAAAUUCGUUGAUAUGGGGAGGAACACCGGUGGCGAAGGCGGCCAUCUGGACGGAUACUGACGCUGAGACGCGAAAAGCGUGGGUAGCAAACAGGG